AAAUGAAAAUAGCACCAUCUCUAAAUAUACAACAAUGAGAGUCAAGCAUUGCUUUAAAAGGAUGAGAGAACCAAGAAAAACUCCUUAAAUUAUAGCAUCUUCCUUUCAUAAAGUAUACAUAAAUCUAGAAUUUGGCUCCUGGAGCCACUAACCUUGAUAUUUAAUUUAGUCUGCUUGAGACUUUCCAAACUGGCAGUCAAAACUAAUUAAUACACAACUGAGACCACCACCCAGUCAUUCCGGUUUGCCCCUGGAUAUGGGAAAGACGGCAGGCCGACUCUUCCCUAAAAGGCAGCUGUGGAGGAGCAUGGCUGCAGUGUCAAGGGGACAGUCUGCCUGGUUUGGGGCCGACAUGGGAAUGUAGGGCUCAACACAGCAAGUGUCUUAGAUUUCAAGAUUUCAUUGGGUUACCAAAGGCUGCUCAAAAUAAGAGAAGCAAACACAGUAUAAAAUACAAUACUUGUAUUGCAGGUAAGUGCAUUUUGCUUUCCUGGAGUGUGCUCUAACUUAAACCACAAGGAAGGAUUUCAGAGCAUCAUAUUUAUAACUUAUUUGACUGUUUUAAAACUCUAUUUCAAUUUGUUCCUUGAAGGCAAUGCAAUCCUAGAAUUAUUUAGAUUUUCCUUUACAUUUCUUCUCCAAUUUAGAUGACUGCUAAUUAGGUCUUUUUCUCUUCAGUGCCCCAGAACCUAGCUGCCUAAAUUGUAUAUGGAAAUAUACAUGAAUACAUAAAAGCUAAGGGUUUCUGUUAAAUAUUCAUAGAUUUUUAUAUGAGAAAUCCAGUUUUGAUAUUUGGGUAAGUAUUUCAGUUUUGGAAAUUUAUUUUUGUAACAGUUAAGUAAUUUUUUUUUUUUUUUAUUGUUGUUACAGGUGACUUGAAGUUCAAGCAAGGGAAAGUGCUGUCCAAAUGCCAGGAAGAAGUUGAAGCCUUUUAAAAUCAUGCUAUGGCUAAUUUGGGAGAAUCUAGGCCUCUACAAUCCAGCCCACUUUUCAGCAGCUCUUCCUGUUAGCCUCCUCAAGCAUAUCCAUAGCAAGCCUUCUAAGCUUUCAAAAUUCAACUUUGAAAACAAAUCUCAAGCAAAGGAAUCCACAAAGCAAUCCCAGAUGUUUUCAGAAGCAAUGGAGGAGUAUCUAGAGUCAUCAGCUGAUCACCAGAGGAUCUCCUGAACAUCUCUGCCAUCCACUUGGAAUGAUUUUUCUUCUGAAAAGCAAAAAACAAAACAGGGCACCUGGGUAAGUUGGUUGAGCAUCUGUCUACCUUUGGCUCAGGUCAAGAUCCCAGAACUCUGGGAUCGAGUCCUACAUUGGGCUCCCUGCUCAACAGAGAACCUGCUUCUCCCUCUCCCACUUCCCUUGCUUGCAGUCUCUCUCUGUCAAAUAAUAAAUAAAUAAAUAAAUAAAUAAAUAAAUAAAUA
rnacentral:lncRNA from 12 species